GACGGGUAUCCGGCCUGAGAGGGUGAUCGGACACACUGGAACUGAGACACGGUCCAGACUCCUACGGGAGGCAGCAGUAGGGAAUAUUGCUCAAUGGGGGAAACCCUGAAGCAGCAACGCCGCGUGGAGGAUGAAGGUUUUAGGAUUGUAAACUCCUUUUGUGAGAGAAGAUAAUGACGGUAUCUCACGAAUAAGCACCGGCUAACUCCGUGCCAGCAGCCGCGGUAAUACGGAGGGUGCAAGCGUUACUCGGAAUCACUGGGCGUAAGGAGUGCGCAGGCGGGCUUGUAAGUCAGAUGUGAAAUCCYGUAGCUUAACUACAGAACUGCAUUYGAAACUAUGAGUCUA
rnacentral:rRNA from 1 species